rnacentral:tRNA from 2 species
GUCUACUUAGCUCAGCUGGAUAGAGCACACGCCUUCUAAGCGUGCGGUCGGGGGUUCGAAUCCCUCAGUGGACGCCA